AGAGGAAGUCCGUCUCCUACCUACCAUGUAUGGCUAGGAAGCACAUUUCAUCGGCUACAAUUGCAGAGUGAUUUCAUGGUGCAUAUUUACCACUUGAUGGAUCCAGCUCGCGUAAAGAUGUGCUCCUGGGAUUGGGUUACAAUGGAAUCAGAGUACCCUGCCCUGAUGUUCACUUGGGUGGGCAUCUACAAUAUUUGCUGUUUUCAUCAUAGUCAUCUUUUUUCUUUCAUUUAAAAAUCUAGAAUUAAUUAAGGCAUGCAUUACAAAACAAACCACAAAUGCAAACUAGAUGUAAUGUGUUGUAACUUGUAAUAUAUAGCAUGUGUGUAGAAACUUUGUUUUGCCGGACCAGAAAUGGAGCCUGACAGUAAAACAGUUCAGAAAUAUUACCCACAUAAGAGGGUUUAUCACCUCUGCUGUAACAUACUAUAUCAACAAAAAUGUUAUA